UCUGGUUGAUCCUGGCGGAGGCCACUGCUAUCGGGGUUCGAUUAAGCCAUGCGAGUCGAGAGGUGCAAGACCUCGGCAUACUGCUCAGUAACACGUGGACAACCUACCCUAAGGAGGGGGGUAACCCCGGAAAACUGGGGAUAAUACCCCAUAGACUACAGAAGCUGGAAUGCUCUGUAAUUGAAAGGUCCGCCGCCUUAGGAUGGGUCUGCGGCUGAUUAGGUUGUUGUUGGGGUAACGGCCCAACAAGCCUGUAAUCAGUACGGGUUGUGGGAGCAAGAACCCGGAGAUGGAUUCUGAGACACGAAUCCAGGCCCUACGGGGCGCAGCAGGCGCGAAAACUUUACAAUGCGGGAAACCGUGAUAAGGGAACCCCGAGUGCCCGUAAAUUCGGGCUGUUAACCUGUUUAAAAAGCAGGUGGAGAAAGGGCCGGGCAAGACCGGUGCCAGCCGCCGCGGUAAUACCGGCGGCUCGAGUGGUGGCCACUAUUACUGGGCUUAAAGCGUCCGUAGCUGGAUUGUUAAGUCUCUUGGGAAAUCUACCGGCUUAACCGAUAGGCGUUCAAGGGAUACUGGCAAUCUAGGGACCGGGAGAGGUGAGAGGUACUCCAGGGGUAGGAGUGAAAUCCUGUAAUCCUUGGGGGACCACCUGUGGCGAAGGCGUCUCACCAGAACGGCUCCGACAGUGAGGGACGAAAGCUGGGGGAGCAAACCGGAUUAGAUACCCGGGUAGUCCCAGCUGUAAACGAUGCGCGUUAGGUGUAUCGGUGACCACGAGUCACCGAGGUGCCGAAGAGAAAUCGUGAAACGUGCCGCCUGGGAAGUACGGUCGCAAGGCUGAAACUUAAAGGAAUUGGCGGGGGAGCACCACAACGGGUGGAGCCUGCGGUUUAAUCGGACUCAACGCCGGAAAGCUCACCAGAUAAGACAGCGGAAUGAUAGCCGGGCUGAAGACUCUGUUUGACUAGCUGAGAGGAGGUGCAUGGCCGUCGUCAGUUCGUACUGUGAAGCAUCCUGUUAAGUCAGGCAACGAGCGAGACCCA
rnacentral:rRNA from 1 species